AAAAACUGUCAAUCAGAUCUGCUGGCUAGAAAAAAACAUUUAUCCUGGUAUCUAUGUUAGGUUCAUAUGCAGCCUUGAAACUAUAGGUAACACAACUAAUUAAAAAAAACAAUGACGUCUUUGAAAUUUUAUGCAGUCCAAAUCAUAAAACCAAAACAAACAAUGACGUAUGUUGUAUAUUAUGCAGUCCUAAUCAUGAAACCAAAUCAAUUAAUGACGUGUAUGGUAUGUUAUACAGGCCAACUAAUGAAAUGAAAUCAAUUAUUGACGUUUGUGGUAUAUUAUGCAGGCCAAAUCAUAUUUGAUACCACAAAACUUUAAUAUUGAUUAGAAGGAACAAUUAGCUAGGAAAAAGCCAUAUGUGAAAGGUAGAAACAGCAGUGAAACAAAAUGUUCUAUUUUUUUAUUUUGACAAUCAAAUAAUUAGAUCUUAGCCAAGACAAUUUCGAAGUUUUUGAGCAAUGAUAAUAGCUGUUUAUAGUUUAAACGUUUUUAAACUUUUUCGAAUUUUGUGUCCUCAAUGCUCUUCAACUUUGUAUUUAUUUGGCUUUUUAACUAUUUUUGAUCUGAGCGUCACUGAUGAGUGUUAUGUAGACGAAACGCGCGUCUGGCGUAUAAAAUUAUUAUCCUUUUACUUUUGAUAACUAUCAAAUCCGUAAAUAAUUAGACUAAUCUUCUUCAUAAUCAUCAUUAUUAGUUUUAACUAUAAACCUGUAAAUGGCAUAUGUUACAAUUGUUAUAAAAACAUUUUGGAAAGAGGACAGUCACGUUGCAUACUGGUAAUACAGAAUGGUUACUACAAAGAUGAUAGCAAUUUGUAUUUUAUUGACAUGUUGUUUUGCGUUUCCUGGUGCGAAGAAGAUGUCCGAUUUGAAUUCAUCUGAGACCGUCAAACACGCCGUAAAGGACAUUACCAAAAGAGGAGAAUACAAACGAGAAAUGUCCGAACUUGAAGCAGAAAUUCAGGCGUUCUACCUGACUGAUGCUGAUGGCAACGGAUACAUCACACCUCAAGAAUGGGCUAAUCUCUUUAGUCCAAUGAAAGAUGAACGUUUACCAAAAUAUAGUUAUAAUUUGUGGUUACGUUCAUUUUAUAAUAAAAUCACUGAGCCUGGGGUUGAC